rnacentral:lncRNA from 1 species
CUCACUGCUCACAGGUGUUGAUGAGCUAGGAAAGGAGUAGUAUUGAGGUGCUGGAGGUAGGUAGAGCACAGCUACUGCCUUUGGAGGGAAGGAAGAGAAAAUGGCUCGAUUAACCAAGCAUCUUUUCUGCUUGAGAGAACAGUAGAAAUACAGUCCUCAGCUGUACAGUUUCGCAGUCGUGUUCUGCACCUGAAUAAACUACCCUUCAUAUUAGAAUAUCUGUCACACGCAGCUAGAAAGGAAUAUUUGCCUCUCGGAUGGCAGCAGAAUCUAAGCAAUGCCAUAAAGUUUUCUGCAGCCUUCCAACCUCACUGAAGUGCUGUUCAUCAGUGGCUUAAGCCUCAUCUACAAUGACUCUGCUUUAUGUCAUUUGAAUUUUUACAGGAGGUAUUUGUGCACCAGAUAGAAAAUUUCUGUUUGUUAUUCCUUGCUUAACUUUUGCUAGUCUCCAGGCUGACUUCCAAGUAAAAAACAAGCUACCAGCUGUUUGGACUUCCUGGGAUCUGUCCUUCUUUUCCGUUUGGAAAAUUUGUCCAGAUAGAUAGGAAUGACAAGGAGCAAGUACUGGAUGGCCCUGGGUGGUCUCUCCCAGAAGUGAAUUCCAGUCUUCUGAAUCUCUCAGGAUCUAGUAUACAGGCAUAAAAAUUCAAUAAUUGUCUUCUGAGAAAAGCAUCUCAAUUUAUAAAAGAAUGAUGGCUCACAAAUGAUGUGUGGUAAAU